CACACACCUCUCCUGUGGAUGGUUUCCACCCUCAUCCCUACAUCCCUCUGUGUCUGUCCACAUCUCUCCUGUGGAUGGUUUCCACCCUCACCCCUACAUCCCUCUGUGUCUGUCCACCCAUCUUUCCUGUGGAUGGUUUCCACUCUCACCUCAAUGCAAGUCUCCAGCCCAGUCCCAGAUGCCUCACGGCCCACUUGCUACCUCCCUCUAGAAAUCAUUCACCACAGUCCACACAUCACAACAGCCAAAUACAACCUGUG
rnacentral:lncRNA from 1 species